UACGGGGGGUGCGAGCGUUGUCCGGAAUCAUUGGGCGUAAAGAGCGUGUAGGCGGCCUGCUAAGUCCUGCGUGAAAUCUCGGGGCUCAACCCCGAGCGGUCGUGGGAAACUGGCAGGCUAGAGUGCGGGGAGAGGAGAGUGGAACUCCAGGUGUAGCGGUGAAAUGCGCAGAUAUCAGGAAGAACACCCGUGGCGAAGGCGGUUCUCUGGGACGGUACUGACGCUGGAGACGCGAAAGCGUGGGGAGCGAACAGG
rnacentral:rRNA from 1 species